UUGGCUUCCGGGCUGAUCGCGAUGCUCGGGACCUCGGUCCCGUAACACGCGUUGGCGCGGUAUGUCCUAAUCUGGCCGUCGUGCACUUCUCCCCUAGUAGAACGUCGCGACCCGUUGGGUGUCGGUCAACGGUCCGAAUGGUCGACUGUCGCGUCGGCAUUGACGAACGCGGCAGACCUUUGGUUACCCGACCGGCUGCCCGACGGUAGCAAUAUCAAUAUAUCGGAUAAAGGUUCGUAUAACGGUGCGUAUCGACUCGUCGGCAGGUUCGCCUCGCCCGCGUUUACGGACCCAGUGCCGUUGCCGGGCGCUUGGCGCGACCUCAAGCCGACGAUGUACCACGAAUCUGUUACAAUAAAUUUCGAACGGAUAUAUAUAACGUCGGCGACGCUACUGCUUUGGGUACUUUCAGGACCCGUCUUGAAACACGGACCAAGGAGUCUAACAUGUGCGCGAGUCAUUGGGACUAUUGAGGCCUAAAGGCGAAAUGAAAGUGAAGGUCGGCAUAUAGAAAGUCGGCCGAGGGAGGAUGGUACGCGUUUCGAUGCGUAUCCGCACUCCCGGGGCGUCUCGUGCUCGUUUCGAGCUGAGGCGCACCCAGAGCGUACACGUUGGGACCCGAAAGAUGGUGAACUAUGCCUGGUCAGGACGAAGUCAGGGGAAACCCUGAUGGAGGUCCGUAGCGAUUCUGACGUGCAAAUCGAUCGUCGGAACUGGGUAUAGGGGCGAAA
rnacentral:rRNA from 1 species